rnacentral:rRNA from 1 species
AUGCGGAAGCUGAGCACUGGCCGCGGCGGAGGGGAGAGGGUCGGGAUGCUGUCCUUCGAGGUGGCCGCGCUCAUGUCGCGGGCCGCGAGCCUGUGGCGCGCGCUCGAGGAGGACCAGGUGGCGCAGCUCCGCGGGGAAGGCGUCCGGCUGGAGGGCGUGCGGAGGCUCGUGGCCGACGACGACAGCGCGCUGCUGGCCCUCGCCGUCGCGGAGAUGGCCGGCGCGUGCGGGGACAUCUCCUGCGCCGUCGCGCGGCUCGCCGGCCGGUGUGCCGACCCGCUGCUGCGCCGGUUCGACGAGCUCUUCUCAAGCCUUAUCGCCGGCGGCGCCGGCGCCGACUCGCACGGGCUGCGCUACGCGGCCGCCAAGAAGAUGGACCGCAAGGCGCGCAAGAUGCAGCGCCUCGUCGCCGCCACCGGGCUCCUGUGCCAGGAGAUCGACGUGCUUGCCGAGCUCGAGCAGGGCGCGCGCCUCCGCCGCGUGCAGUUCGCGCCCGGCGAAGCCGCGCGCCGCGUUGCCAGGCAGAGGCAGGAGGUCGACCGCCUCCGCGCGGCCUCGCUCUGGAACCGGAGCUUGGACUACGCCGUCCGUCUGCUUGGCAGAUCGCUCUUCACCAUCGUCGCGAGGAUCAUAGAUGUGUUCGACCUGCAGCCCAAGAAAAUCGCCAUGAACGAUUACUCCAUGGUGUCGCCCGCCGGUGCGCGGCUCUCAUUCUCCUGGAGCAACUCCUUCGUUGGGAGUACGAAUUCGCUGGUGUACCCCUCGGAUUUCCCCGUGGAUGCUCCGAAGAGGUCGACGGUUGCUGCAAAAUCCGGUAAGGCCCCUAACGGCGACGUUCGCCGGUUCCUACUUUCCAGGAGCCAGAGUUUGAAGCAGCUCAAGUGGCCGGUGCGUGGCAAGCACCUCAUCGGCUGCAUGGUCAGCGGGAGCAAGUCUCCGACCAAGGAGGGGUGGGUCCACGGCGGCCAUGAUCUCCCACUGAGCUUCAGCUACGUCUCAUCCAACAACGACGAUUUCAGUGGCAGUUACCAGACCAACGAGAGUGAUCGUCACAGCGCCAGCAGGAAGCUCUCCACUUCGGUGUUCGAGUGCUCGUCGCACGACGUGCUGGAAAACGCACCGGAGGCGACCCUCGGCGCAGCCGCCCUGGCAUCGCACUACGCGAACCUCGUCGUCUUCGCCGAGAAGCUCGCCAUCUCGCCCCGGCACAUCUGCCCCGACGAGAGGGAUGCGCUGUACGGCAUGCUGACUGACAGUAUCCGGGCGUCCCUCCGAGCACGCCUAAGGCCGCCGUCGUCCGCCGCUCGCAAGAAGGGCACGCCCUGCGAUCGCGUCCUGGCCGCCGGGUGGGCUGACACGGUGCAGGGGAUCCUCGGAUGGCUAGCACCAGUCGCCCACAACACUGUGCGGUGGCGGUCCGAGAGGAGCUUCGAGCAGCGGAACGUGGGCUCCGGCACCAGCGUUCUGCUCCUGCAGACGCUGCACUUCGCUGACCGGGACAAGACCGAAGAUGCCAUCAUCGAGCUGCUUGUUGGGCUGAAUUACCUGUGGAGAUACGGGACUCAGCUCUCCGCAAAGCCAAAAUUGGAGUCAGUGGGUGGCGAUGUUUACCAUGAUCGAGCUGAUUACAUAGGAUGA